rnacentral:lncRNA from 1 species
CAAAAUCUAUCAUAUGUCAAAAUUUCAAUACUCGUCUGAUUGCAGUUAGAUACAUCGACGAAGAUGACGCUGUAUAAGAUUUCAUUUUUCUGUUUGUACCUUAUGAAUCAUUGUUAGCUAUCGAAUGAAAAUUAAGCAGUUUCUAAACAAUAAAGAAAACAUCUACUCUAUUUUAAAAUCGUGGGAAAUAUAGUAAUAAUCUAUCUAGUGGGGAAAAAUAUGUAAAAAAACCCAAAUAAAAACCAUGCCAUAUGAUCUCUGACCUUGACAUGGUUUGUGGGCUUAAACUACAGGAGACCAUAGAACGUAGUAGGUUAUAAAAAAUUGAAAACAACACGUUUAAUAAUGUCUUGCGUCCGAAGCGCUUUUCUGGAUAUACCUUCACCAGGAACGCUCAAAGCCAAAC